GUACGGGAGGCAGCAGUGGGGAAUCUUCCGCAAUGGACGAAAGUCUGACGGAGCAACGCCGCGUGAGUGAAGAAGGUCUUCGGAUUGUAAAACUCUGUUUUUUGGGAAGAACGGUCUCUAUGUGAAUAAUGUAGAGAAUUGACGGUACCAAAGGAGGAAGCCCCGGCUAACUACGUGCCAGCAGCCGCGGUAAUACGUAGGGGGCAAGCGUUGUCCGGAAUUAUUGGGCGUAAAGAGCGCGCAGGCGGUUUGUUAAGUCUACCGUGAAAGCUUACGGCUCAACCGUAACAGGCCGGUGGAUACUGGCAGACUUGAGGGCAGGAGAGGAAAGUGGAAUUCCCAGUGUAGCGGUGAAAUGCGUAGAGAUUGGGAGGAACACCAGUGGCGAAGGCGACUUUCUGGACUGUUACUGACGCUGAGGCGCGAAAGCUGGGGGAGUGAACGGGAUUAGAUACCCCGGUAGC
rnacentral:rRNA from 1 species